rnacentral:tRNA from 1 species
AGGCGUAGUUUAGUGGUAAAAUGGCGGCUUCCCAAGCCUCAGUUGUGGGUUCGAUUCCCAUCGCCUG